CAGCAGCCGCGGUAAUACGUAGGGUGCAAGCGUUAAUCGGAAUUACUGGGCGUAAAGCGUGCGCAGGCGGUUCGGAAAGAAAGRUGUGAAAUCCCAGAGCUUAACCUUGGAACUGCACUUUUAACUACCGAGCUAGAGUGUGUCAGAGGGAGGUGGAAUUCCGCGUGUAGCAGUGAAAUGCGUAGAUAUGCGGAGGAAUACCGAUGGCGAAGGCAGCCCCCUGGGAUAAUACUGACGCUCAUGCACGAAAGCGUGGGGAGCAAACAGGAUUAGAUACCCUGGUAGUCCACGCCCUAAACGAUGUCAACUAGCUGUUGGGGUYUAUUAACCUUAGUAGCGCAGCUAACGCGUGAAGUUGACCGCCUGGGGAGUACGGUCGCAAGAUUAAAACUCAAAGGAAUUGAC
rnacentral:rRNA from 1 species